UCGAACGAAAGUCUUCGGAUUUUAGUGGCGGACGGGUGAGUAACGCGUGAGAAUCUGCCUUUAGGACGGGAACAACAACUGGAAACGGUUGCUAAAGCCCGAUGUGCCCUACGGGGUGAAAAUAUUUAUAGCCUGAAGAUGAGCUCGCGUCCGAUUAGCUAGUAGGUGAGGUAAGGGCUCACCUAGGCGACGAUCGGUAACUGGUCUGAGAGGAUGGCCAGUCACACUGGGACUGAGACACGGCCCAGACUCCUACGGGAGGCAGCAGUGGGGAAUUUUCCGCAAUGGGCGAAAGCCUGACGGAGCAAUACCGCGUGAGGGAGGAAGGCUCUUGGGUCGUAAACCUCUUUUAUCAGGGAAGAAGACAGUGACGGUACCUGAUGAAUCAGCAUCGGCUAACUCCGUGCCAGCAGCCGCGGUAAUACGGAGGAUGCAAGCGUUAUCCGGAAUUAUUGGGCGUAAAGCGUCCGCAGGUGGUUUUGAAAGUUUGCUGUCAAAGCGCGGAGCUUAACUUCGUACGGGCAGUGAAAACUACGAGACUAGAGUUUGGUAGGGGUCACGGGAAUUCCCAGUGUAGCGGUGAAAUGCGUAGAGAUUGGGAAGAACACCAGCGGCGAAAGCGCGUGACUGGGCCUGAACUGACACUCAUGGACGAAAGCUAGGGGAGCGAAAGGGAUUAGAUACCCCUGUAGUCCUAGCCGUAAACGAUGACAACUAGGUGUUGCCCGUAUCGACCCGAGCCGUGCCGA
rnacentral:rRNA from 1 species